AUGCGAUAAGUAAUGUGAAUUGCAGAAUUCAGUGAAUCAUCGAAUCUUUGAACGCACAUUGCGCCCGCCAGUAUUCUGGCGGGCAUGCCUGUUCGAGCGUCAUUUCAACCAUCAAGCCCCCGGCUUGUGUUGGGGACCUGCGGCUGCCGCAGGCCCUGAAAAGCAGUGGCGGGCUCGCUGUCACACCGAGCGUAGUAGCAUACAUCUCGCUCUGGGCGUGCUGCGGGUUCCGGCCGUUAAACCACCUUCAUAACCCAAGGUUGACCUCGGAUCAGGUAGGAAGACCCGCUGAACUUAA
rnacentral:misc_RNA from 1 species